UCCAGAUCGUCACACCACUUCUUAGUUUAAGUUAUGCUGCUUUGAUUGCUUUACUCUUAAAUAGAAAUAUGAAGAUGUGACUACACAUUGGCUUAACGCGUGUAUAACGCAUUUUUAUAGAAAUAUUCAGGAGACAUUGCAUGUCUAAAUCGACCGGAACGGUAAAGUGGUUCAGUGAAGAGAAAGGCUUUGGCUUUAUCGCUCAGGACAACGGUGGUCCAGACGUAUUCGUUCACUUCCGUGCCAUCACUGGUGACGGCUUCAAAACUCUCGCUGAAGGUCAAGCUGUGACCUUUGACGUUGAGCAGGGUCAGAAAGGCCUUCAAGCUGCCAACGUAGAGAAAGCUUAAGCUUUUCCCGUUAACGGGAAAACAGAAAAAGAGCGCUAGAAGCGCUCUUUUUUUU
rnacentral:sRNA from 1 species